UACGGAGGGUGCAAGCGUUAAUCGGAAUUACUGGGCGUAAAGCGCGCGUAGGCGGCUUGGUCAGUUGGGUGUGAAAGCCCCGGGCUUAACCUGGGAACUGCAUCCAAUACUGCCAGGCUAGAGUACGAGAGAGGGGGGUAGAAUUCCUAGUGUAGCGGUGAAAUGCGUAGAUAUUAGGAGGAAUACCAGUGGCGAAGGCGGCCCCCUGGCUCGAUACUGACGCUGAGGCACGAAGGCGUGGGGAGCGAACGGG
rnacentral:misc_RNA from 1 species